CCUACGGGGUGCACCAGUGGGGAAUAUUGCACAAUGGGCGCAAGCCUGAUGCAGCCAUGCCGCGUGUAUGAAGAAGACCUUCGGGUUGUAAAGUACUUUCAGCGAGGAGGAAGGCAUUAAGGUUAAUAACCUCGGCGAUUGACGUUACUCGCAGAAGAAGCACCGGCUAACUCCGUGCCAGCAGCCGCGGUAAUACGGAGGGUGCAAGCGUUAAUCGGAAUUACUGGGCGUAAAGCGCACGCAGGCGGUCUGUCAAGUCAGAUGUGAAAGCCCCGGGCUCAACCUGGGAACUGCAUUCGAAACUGGCAGGCUAGAGUCUUGUAGAGGGGGGUAGAAUUCCAGGUGUAGCGGUGAAAUGCGUAGAGAUCUGGAGGAAUACCGGUGGCGAAGGCGGCCCCCUGGACAAAGACUGACGCUCAGGUGCGAAAGCGUGGGGAGCAAACAGGAUUAGAUACCCUAGUAGUC
rnacentral:rRNA from 1 species